rnacentral:rRNA from 1 species
UACGGGGGGGGCAAGCGUUGUUCGGAAUUACUGGGCGUAAAGGGCUCGUAGGUGGCCAACUAAGUCAGACGUGAAAUCCCUCGGCUUAACCGGGGAACUGCGUCUGAUACUGGAUGGCUUGAGUUCGGGAGAGGGAUGCGGAAUUCCGAGUGUAGAGGUGAAAUUCGUAGAUAUUCGGAGGAACACCAGUGGCGAAGGCGGCUCACUGGUCCAUUACUGACGCUGAGGUGCGAAAGCGUGGGGAGCAAACAGG